rnacentral:rRNA from 1 species
GAAGCCGGAAUUGCUAGUAAUGGCAGGUCAGCAUACUGCCGUGAAUACGUUCCCGGGCCUUGUACACACCGCCCGUCACACCAUGAGAGUUGGGGAUACCCGAAGCCUGUGAGCUAACUAUUUAUAGGAGCAGCAGUCGAAGGUAGAAUCAAUGAUUGGGGUGAAGUCGUAACAAGGUAAC